rnacentral:rRNA from 1 species
GAUGAACGCUGGCGGCGUGCCUAAUACAUGCAAGUCGAGCGAACAGACGAGGAGCUUGCUCCUCUGACGUUAGCGGCGGACGGGUGAGUAACACGUGGAUAACCUACCUAUAAGACUGGGAUAACUUCGGGAAACCGGAGCUAAUACCGGAUAAUAUAUUGAACCGCAUGAUUCAAUAGUGAAAGACGGUUUUGCUGUCACUUAUAGAUGGUUCCGCGCCGCAUUAGCUAGUUGGUAAGGUAACGGCUUACCAAGGCAACGAUGCGUAGCCGACCUGAGAGGGUGAUCGGCGACACUGGAACUGAGACACGGUCCAGACUCCUACGGGAGGCAGCAGUAGGGAAUCUUCCGCAAUGGGCGAAAGCCUGACGGAGCAACGCCGCGUGAGUGAUGAAGGUCUUCGGAUCGUAAAACUCUGUUAUUAGGGAAGAACAAAUGUGUAAGUAACUAUGCACGUCUUGACGGUACCUAAUCAGAAAGCCACGGCUAACUACGUG